rnacentral:misc_RNA from 1 species
GAUGAAGAACGUAGUGAAAUGCGAUAAGUAAUGUGAAUUGCAGAAUUCAGUGAAUCAUCGAAUCUUUGAACGCACAUUGCGCCCUGUGGUAUUCCGCAGGGCAUGCCUGUUCGAGCGUCAUUUCAACCCUCAAGCCCCGCUUGGUGUUGGGCCCCGCCCGCCGUGGCCGGCCCUAAAGACAGUGGCGGCGCCGCCUGGCCCUCAGCGUAGUACAGCUCUCGCUCCAGGGUCCGGCGGCCGCCUGCCAGAACCCCCCCAACUCUGUGGUUGACCUCGGAUCAGGUAGGGAUACCCGCUGAACUUAAGCAUAUCAAUAAGCGGAGGA